CUCCACCACCGCCAGCCCUGGAGCCCCAUCUACUCCUGGUACUACCUUUUCCAGCAGCAGAUCAGGGACCACAGGACCAUCCAUUUAUGAAACAACGAGAUUUCCAAGCAGUGAAUCAGCAGCACCUGGGCACAAGUUAGGCUCUGCUGGCACUUCCGUUCCCAUCCCCAUAGCUG